rnacentral:rRNA from 1 species
GUGCCAGCCGCCGCGGUAAUACGGAAGGUCCGGGCGUUAUCCGGAUUUAUUGGGUUUAAAGGGAGCGCAGGCGGAAGGUUAAGCGUGACGUGAAAUGUACCGGCUCAACCGGUGAAUUGCGUCGCGAACUGGUCUUCUUGAGUGAGUACGACGGAGUCGGAAUUCGUGGUGUAGCGGUGAAAUGCUUAGAUAUCACGAAGAACGCCGAUUGCGAAGGCAGUCUCCGAGUCCUUAACUGACGCUAAUGCUCGAAAGUGCGGGUAUCGAACAGGAUUAGAUACCCUGGUAGUCCGCACGGUAAACGAUGGAUGCCCGCUGUUGGCGAUAUAGUGUCAGCGGCCAAGCGAAAGCGUUAAGCAUCCCACCUGGGGAGUACGCCGGCAACGGUGAAACUCAAAGGAAUUGACGGGGGCCCGCACAAGCGGAGGAACAUGUGGUUUAAUUCGAUGAUACGCGAGGAACCUUACCCGGGCUUGAACUGCAGGAGAACGAUUCAGAGAUGAUGAGGCCCUUCGGGGCUCCUGUGGAGGUGCUGCAUGGUUGUCGUCAGCUCGUGCCGUGAGGUGUCGGCUUAAGUGCCAUAACGAGCGCAACCCCUUUCUUCAGUUGCCAUCAGGUUAUGCUGGGCACUCUGGAGACACUGCCACCGUAAGGUGUGAGGAAAGUGGGGAUGACGUCAAAUCAGCACGGCCCUUACGUCCGGGGCUACACACGUGUUACAAUGGGUGGUACAGAGAGUCGGUGCAAUGCAAAUUGUAUCCAAUCAUGAAAGCCAUCCUCAGUUCGGAUUGGGGUCUGCAACCCGACCCCAUGAAGCUGGAUUCGCUAGUAAUCGCGCAUCAGCCAUGGCGCGGUGAAUACGUUCCCGGGCCUUGUACACACCGCCCGU